rnacentral:rRNA from 1 species
CGAGCGGUAGCAGGCCUUCGGGUGCUGACGAGCGGCGGACGGGUGAGGAAUGCAUAGGAAUCUGCCUAUUAGUGGGGGAUAACACGGGGAAACUCGUGCUAAUACCGCAUACGUCCUACGGGAGAAAGCGGGGGAUCUUCGGACCUCGCGCUAAUAGAUGAGCCUAUGCCGGAUUAGCUAGUUGGUAGGGUAAAGGCCUACCAAGGCGACGAUCCGUAGCUGGUCUGAGAGGAUGAUCAGCCACACUGGGACUGAGACACGGCCCAGACUCCUACGGGAGGCAGCAGUGGGGAAUAUUGGACAAUGGGCGCAAGCCUGAUCCAGCCAUGCCGCGUGUGUGAAGAAGGCCUUCGGGUUGUAAAGCACUUUAAGUGGGGAGGAAGGUUAGUGGUUUAAUACGCUACUAAAUUGACGUUACCCACAGAAUAAGCACCGGCUAACUCUGUGCCAGCAGCCGCGGUAAUACAGAGGGUGCAAGCGUUAAUCGGAAUUACUGGGCGUAAAGCGCGCGUAGGUGGUUUUGUAAGUUGAAUGUGAAAUCCCCGGGCUUAACCUGGGAAUGGCAUCCAAAACUGCACGACUAGAGUAUGGGAGAGGGAGGUAGAAUUCCAGGUGUAGCGGUGAAAUGCGUAGAGAUCUGGAGGAAUACCGGUGGCGAAGGCGGCCUCCUGGCCUAAUACUGACACUGAGGUGCGAAAGCGUGGGUAGCAAACAGGAUUAGAUACCCUGGUAGUCCACGCCGUAAACGAUGAGAACUAGCCGUUGGUCUCCUUGAGAGGUUAGUGGCGCAGCUAACGCGAUAAGUUCUCCGCCUGGGGAGUACGGCCGCAAGGUUAAAACUCAAAUGAAUUGACGGGGGCCCGCACAAGCGGUGGAGCAUGUGGUUUAAUUCGACGCAACGCGAAGAACCUUACCUGGUCUUGACAUCCACGGAAUCCUGCAGAGAUGUGGGGGUGCCUUCGGGAACCGUGAGACAGGUGCUGCAUGGCUGUCGUCAGCUCGUGUUGUGAAAUGUUGGGUUAAGUCCCGUAACGAGCGCAACCCUUGUCCUUAGUUGCCAGCGAGUAAUGUCGGGAACUCUAAGGAGACUGCCGGUGACAAACCGGAGGAAGGUGGGGACGACGUCAAGUCAUCAUGGCCCUUACGACCAGGGCUACACACGUGCUACAAAGGCCGGUACAGAGGGUUGCCAAGCCGCGAGGUGGAGCCAAUCCCGAAAAGCCGGUCGUAGUCCGGAUUGCAGUCUGCAACUCGACUGCAUGAAGUCGGAAUCGCUAGUAAUCGCAGAUCAGAAUGCUGCGGUGAAUACGUUCCCGGGCCUUGUACACACCGCCCGUCACACCAUGGGAGUGGGUUGCACCAGAAGUAGUUAGCUUAACCGCAAGGGGAGCGAUUACCACGGUGUGAUUCAUGACUGGGGUGAAGUCGAAACAAGGUA